rnacentral:lncRNA from 10 species
CCUCCUCCCAUGCCUGUCUGCUUUCCUAUUGCAGAGGCAGACAGAGAGAGGCCUCUCUCUGAUUUCUGCCUUCUCUGUCCUAUAGACAUGGUUUUAAUGAGUUAUCCUAAUUAGGUCAGGCCCACCUGAGAUAAUCUCUCCUGAUUAACUUGAAGUCAACUGAUUAGGGACCUUUAUUACAUUGACAGAAUACCUCCACUUUUGCCAUAUAAGGUCUUUUAGCACAGGCGCUGCCCUUGGAGUUCCCAGUGUAUCAGCAACAGCCUGGAGAUCACGUUCUCAUCAAAGGGUAGAAAGAAGGGAAACUCAAGCCACCCUGGGAAGAACCCUACCUUGUGCUGCUAACCACUGAGACUGCUGUUGGCACAGUGGAAAGGGGAUGGACACAUCACACCAAGUCAAGCAAGCACAAUUAUCAUCAGAAUCAUGGGCCAUUAUUCCUGGAUCAAGUCCUAUCAAAUUAAAG